UGAAUUGUUCUAAGUUGGGGCCUUAGUGCUUCAUACCUGAACAUCCAAGGUCAUUUCCAUCCUUGCUUGGACCCUUUAAUGGAAGUACUACGCGUAAUAGGCUGGUCUCUCCUAGCAUCAAAUAGAAGUCUCGCAAGCUUAGAUGCCUGAAGUCUGUUGAACAAUGUUUUAUAUUAUUUUGCGAUCCGCCUGUGGAUCUUUUACUUUCCGUUUGUAAUACUUGGAUAUUACUUCAUAUCGGAUUGUAAUAUAUUUUGCUUCCGCUGU
rnacentral:lncRNA from 1 species